rnacentral:rRNA from 1 species
AGAGUUUGAUCCUGGCUCAGGACGAACGCUGGCGGCGUGCUUAACACAUGCAAGUCGAACGAUGAACCACUUCGGUGGGGAUUAGUGGCGAACGGGUGAGUAACACGUGGGCAAUCUGCCCUUCACUCUGGGACAAGCCCUGGAAACGGGGUCUAAUACCGGAUAUCACUGCCACUCGCAUGGGUGGUGGUUGAAAGCUCCGGCGGUGAAGGAUGAGCCCGCGGCCUAUCAGCUUGUUGGUGAGGUAAUGGCUCACCAAGGCGACGACGGGUAGCCGGCCUGAGAGGGCGACCGGCCACACUGGGACUGAGACACGGCCCAGACUCCUACGGGAGGCAGCAGUGGGGAAUAUUGCACAAUGGGCGAAAGCCUGAUGCAGCGACGCCGCGUGAGGGAUGACGGCCUUCGGGUUGUAAACCUCUUUCAGCAGGGAAGAAGCGAAAGUGACGGUACCUGCAGAAGAAGCGCCGGCUAACUACGUGCCAGCAGCCGCGGUAAUUC